rnacentral:rRNA from 1 species
GGCAGCAGCCGCGGUAACACCGGCGGCCCGAGUGGUGAUCGUGAUUAUUGGGUCUAAAGGGUCCGUAGCCGGUUUGGUCAGUCCUCCGGGAAAUCUGAUAGCUCAACUAUUAGGCUUUCGGGGGAUACUGCCAGACCUGGAACCGGGAGAGGUAAGGGGUACUACAGGGGUAGGAGUGAAAUCUUGUAAUCCCUGUGGGACCACCUGUGGCGAAGGCGUCUUACCAGAACGGGUUCGACGGUGAGGGACGAAAGCUGGGGGCACGAACCGGAUUAGAUACCCGGGUAGUCCCAGCCGUAAACGAUGCUCGCUAGGUGUCAGGCAUGGCGCGACCGUGUCUGGUGCCGCAGGGAAGCCGUGAAGCGAGCCACCUGGGAAGUACGGCCGCAAGGCUGAAACUUAAAGGAAUUGGCGGGGGAGCACAACAACGGGUGGAAGCCUGCGGUUUAACUGGACUCAACGCCGGACAACUCACCGGGGGCGACAGCAAUAUGUAGGCCAAGCUGAAGACUUUGCCUGAAUCGCUGAGGGGAGGUGCAUGG